rnacentral:rRNA from 1 species
AUCUAGUGAAAGCCCACGGCUCAACCGUGGAAUUGCUGGGUGAACCGUUUCCUCGAGGCGGGUAGGGGUCAGCGGAACUAUGGGUGGAGCGGUGAAAUGCGUAGAUAUCCAUGGGAACGCCAAUGGCGAAGGCAGCUGACUGGGCCCGUCCUGACGCUCAGGCACGAAAGCGUGGGUAGCGAACGGGAUUAGAUACCCCGGUAGUCCACGCCGUAAACGAUGCGCACUAGGUCGGGGAGGUUUUCACGCCGUCCCGGCCGAAGGUAAACUGUUAAGUGCGCCGCCUGGGGAGUACGGUCGCAAGGCUAAAACUCAAAGGAAUUGACGGGGGCUCACACAAGCGGUGGAGCAUGUUGCUUAAUUCGAGGCAACGCGAAGAACCUUACCUGGGCUUGACAUGCACGGAUUAGCCGUUGGAAACAUCGGUGACGCUCUUUGAGUGGAACGUGUACAGGUGCUGCAUGGCUGUCGUCAGCUCGUGCUGUGAAGUGUUGGGUUAAGUCCCUUAACGAGCGCAACCCCUAUCGCUAGUUACUAACGCGUGAAGGCGAGGACUCUAGCGAGACUGCCGGUGUCAAACCGGAGGAAGGUGGGGAUGACGUCAAGUCCUCAUGGCCCUUACGCCCAGGGCUGCAAACGUGCUACAAUGCUGCGUACAGAGCGAUGCAAUCCCGCGAGGGGGAGCAAAUCGCAAAAAGCGCGGCCCAGUUCGGAUUGCAGGCU